rnacentral:lncRNA from 10 species
AUUAAGGAACAAAAGUUGGGCCAGGCAUGGCUCAUGCCUGUAAUCCCAACACUUUGAGAAGUUAAGGCAGGAGGCCUUAGGAGUUGAACUUGAGCCCAGGAGUUCGAGACCAGUCUGGGCAACAAAGAGAGACCCUAUCUCAAAAAAAAAAAUAAAAAUGAUAAAACCAGCUGGCCAUGAUGGCACACAAUUGUAGUCCUAGCUACUCAGAGGCUGAGGUGGGUGCAUCGCUUGGACCUGAGAGUUCGAGGCUGCAGUGAGCCAUGAUUACACUUACACUUACUGCACUCCAGCCUGGGUGACAAAGCAAAACCCUGUCUCAAAAACAUAUUUAAAAAGAAGAAAAGUUAUUUAAUGAUAUUUGCUAUCACUGCUAAAACCUGGUAAGAAAGACUUUCUUCAGGAUCAUCUCGACAGGCAUAGGGACUACUGCAAUGGGAUUUUGCAGUGUGGGAGAGAGAUUGGGCUGAACUCUGAAUACAACCUGGACAAGUGGGAAUUUCUAGCCCAGGAGCAUGGUGGGGGUCAGUUGAUGGAAAAUUACAAGGAAUAAACAUCAAGGAUAAGGGGAAUUCUGGCUAAGCUGACCUAACGGGUUUCUUACUGAAGACAGGCCAGGGUGAUCAGACUAUAUCUGUGGAAUGGUGGAGGUGGAAGAUCUUGAUCAAAUAUAGACGAGAUAAUGAGGGUGGGGAGUUCUUGCUAAACUGACUUGGCCGGGAUCUUGCUAAACUGAACUUUACAAGGAAGUGCACAGAUGGGCCCAGGAGAAGGUUCAGGAGCCUGACUAAAGUUUAAUCAAAAAAGAAUCUUUGUCAUUCUGCAAGCUCAGAGGGACUCUUGGGUGAUCAAUAAUAAUUUAGCUCCAUUUUCUUUUGUUUGUCCAAUGUUGUACUUUAAAGAACACAUGGCUCAGCUGGCAAAGGGAGGACAAAAUGAUUGUAAAUAGCUUUGCUUUUCCUCACUGAAAGCCUUUUUAGGUUUUGAAGCCUCUAAUGAAGGGAGAAGACACUGGCUCCACACUCCAGGUACAGAGCUGUUUUUGAUAAGAUGAAAAGGAUGUUUUUCUUACCAGGUAUCAUUCUCUUCAGAAGUAAUGUUUCCUACACAAAGUGACUGCAUGUCAAAUGUGCAAUUUGUCUCUCCAGAGCACAGUGACUGGCUUCUUCGUUCCUGAUAUAAUGGCUAGCUCUGGAUUUUUCUUGGUAAUUUCUAUAUCUCUGUUUUCCUCUCAAUUGUAAUAUUCCUGCAUCAGAAGACGAACUCAGAAGUUGUGGUCCUGGGCUUUUCAGGCAUCUUUGUUUGCUUCUUUUCAUUCCAAAGCUUUUGCUAGGAACAGGGAAGCUGACACAUCAGCAGGCGAGGACCCUUCAAUAGUGUGGAGAGUGAGGGAAGGUUGAACACCCUGCAGUCAGGAGAUCCUUUGCAAAUUUUCUGGAGCCCUUAAGUCCUCCAGGAUAGUCAAGUGAUCCGAGGCCAAUGAACGAUGACUGAUAUCACAUAUCUCUUCAUCUUCCCAAUUCUUGCCAGCUUAGUUCCAGCCUUUUAGAAGCCUCCUCUAGUCCUCAGCUUGCGGCCCCGUCCUCCAUCUCCAAAGAGACAGCAUCUUCUCUCCUCUCUGACCUCUGCUUCUAUUGUCACAUCCUCUUUGA